UCCUUCCUUUUUUUCUUUUUUCUUUAAACUUAGAACAUAUAAGAUUAUCAUUUUUCUUUUUACUAUUUAUGUCAUAAUUAUUUUCAGAAUGAUCAUGUUUCUCUAAUUUCACAUAUUGAAUUUGAAAAUUUCAGACGAUAGAGUUUUGGCGUGAAGUUGAGAUUCUUUCAAAGCUUCACCAUCCAAAUGUGGUGGCCUUUUAUUGUGUGGUGCAGGAUGGACCGGUGUUCAUUUGAAGGUGGUAUUGCGGGAGAAUCUGGAUCCGAGGCUCAUGGUGGUUAUGUUUCUCUGCCUUUAUUCAUUUUAUCUUGUUGGAUGUUGUGUUCUCCAGCUUUCAUUGGUGGGAUGAUAAAAGAUAUGAUUGUUCAAUCUCUAUAUAAAUUGAAGGUUCACAAUAUCAUGGAAGUAUACCUUUUGUGGUUUGGCUACUUUGAUUCUGAUCAAUGAGGUUCACCGAUUGGACUUGCGGAGUUUACUUGUAAGACUUUGCUGAGGAAAAUUAAUCACCAUUGCUAAUCCUGCUCUUCAUUUGUAUUAAGACCAUGCUGUUUGGCUUCAAUGCUACAUGUUAUUUUGACA